CAGCCGCCGCGGUAAAACGUAGGUGGCAAGCGUUGUCCGGAAUUAUUGGGCGUAAAGGGCUCGCAGGCGGUUUCUUAAGUCUGAUGUGAAAGCCCCCGGCUCAACCGGGGAGGGUCAUUGGAAACUGGGAAACUUGAGUGCAGAAGAGGAGAGUGGAAUUCCACGUGUAGCGGUGAAAUGCGUGGAGAUGUGGAGGAACACCAGUGGCGAAGGCGACUCUCUGGUCUGUAACUGACGCUGAGGAGCGAAAGCGUGGGGAGCGAACAGGAUUAGAUACCCCGGUAGUCCCUGUCUCUUAUAC
rnacentral:rRNA from 1 species